rnacentral:lncRNA from 1 species
GCGUACCAACAGAGACCAAACCACGUUCAAAACCUCAUCUUCCUCAUCCAUACGCGUAUUGCCUAGUGCCAUACGCGUACCAGACCAUCUCAUACGCGUAUUGCCUAGUGCCAUACGCGUAUGACCAGAAACCAGAUUUCCAGAUCUGCUAUGGCAUUCUCUGCUACGAGAUCUAUCCAAUUCAACCUUCUACAGUCCA